GGACUACCCGGGUAUCUAAUCCUGUUUGCUCCCCACGCUUUCGUGCCUGAACGUCGGUGCUGGACCAGGAAGCCGCUUUCGCCACUGGUGUUCCUUCCGAUAUCUACGCAUUUCACCGCUACACCGGAAAUUCCGCUUCCCUCUUCCGCACCCUAGCUACGCAGUCUCGAAUGCAAUUCCCAGGUUGAGCCCGGGGCUUUCACACCCGACUUAUGUAACCGUCUACGCACGCUUUACGCCCAGUAAUUCCGAUUAACGCUUGCACCCUCUGUAUUACCGCGGCGGCUGGCAC
rnacentral:rRNA from 2 species